UCGGGCUAAAACACGCAAACUAAGAUGCACCACACGUUGCUCCUAUUUUGUUUACAUUUUGCGUCGGUAGAAGCAGUAGGAAAGUGAAAAAUGUAUCAAAUUUUGUUAUCAGUUUUGGAGCAGCCGGUAUUUGCCGUAUUGAAAUCAGAGUAUAAUUUGAAUAGAUGACUUUUUUAAAAGAUUGACACAGGAUGUACGUAGAAGUUUUCAUGUGGAAAAUACUGUAGCAGUGAUAAAGUUAGAAGGCUACAUAAAGAAUAUUAUGUGAAAAAUAGUGAAAGUUCCUGGUUGAGCUUCAUUAGAGACAGCAUGCUUCGAUCUUCAGGAAUCAUCGAUAAGUGCAAACAAUAUAUCUUUACCUUUGAUAAAUCUGAAAAGAAGAAAAGAGUAGAAAGGUAGAAGAAGAGGAAACUUUCGUUGCCAGUAAAUAGUGCAAACUCGUCAUCUUUCAAGUUGAACCCGAAGAAU